CGGCGGACGGGUGAGUAACGCGUGAGCAACCUGCCUUGCACAGGGGGAUAACACUCGGAAACGGGUGCUAAUACCGCAUGAGACCCCACUAUCGCAUGAUAGAGAGGUCAAAGGGCUUUACCGGUGCAAGAUGGGCUCGCGUCCCAUUAGCUAGUUGGUGAGGUAACGGCUCACCAAGGCGACGAUGGGUAGCCGACCUGAGAGGGUGAUCGGCCACACUGGGACUGAGACACGGCCCAGACUCCUACGGGAGGCAGCAGUGGGGAAUAUUGCGCAAUGGGGGGAACCCUGACGCAGCAACGCCGCGUGAGUGAAGAAGGUCUUCGGAUCGUAAAGCUCUGUCAUCGGGGACGAAGAAUGACGGUACCCGAAGAGGAAGCCCCGGCUAACUACGUGCCAGCAGCCGCGGUAAUACGUAGGGGGCGAGCGUUGUCCGGAAUUACUGGGCGUA
rnacentral:rRNA from 1 species